rnacentral:rRNA from 1 species
GACGAACGCUGGCGGCGUGCUUAACACAUGCAAGUCGAACGAAGCGGCCAACGGGUGAGUAAUACGUGGGUAACCUGCCCUCCUUUUUGGGAUAAGCGUUGGAAACGGGGUCUAAUACCGAAUAAAGGGGGAUGGGCUCGCGGCCUAUCAGCUUGUUGGUGGGGUGAGGGCCUACCAAGGCGGUGACGGGUAGCCGGCCUGAGAGGGUGACCGGCCACAUUUGGACUGGGAUACUGCCCAGGCACCUACGGGAGGCAGCAGUGGGUGAAAUUGCGCAAUGGGCGAAAGGCUUAUUCAGCGACGUCGCGAGGGGGAUGAAGGCUUUCGGGUUGUAAACCUCUUUCGCGAGCGAACGGGUAGGUGGAGAAGAAGCGCCGGCUAACUACGUGCCAGCAGCCGCGGUAAUUC